CGGGGAGAUGCAGCUGCUGCAGGUGAACCCAGCGCGCUCGCAGGCCCUGCUGCCUCCACUCCCGCGCUCAGGGAUCCUGUCCGCACUUUUGGAUUCGCUCGGCGCUCCCGGGAUGUGUGUUUGAUCUUCACCACUGUGGCUUCUGAUCCAGGUUAUCCUCACAGGCCAUCGAUUUCCUUAGAGAGUAGACAACCAGCCCCUCUCAUAAUGAUGGGGGAAAUUUUACUUCAGCACAAAAUUGGUAAAGUGCAAACUCUCUCUUUGGCUUCUUCUUAAACUCUCAUGAACCUGGUGAGUAUAAGCAGAUUCUGUUCCACUCUCUUGCUGCCUACCUUCUGGGAUAUAACAUCAACUGCAUCUUCUGGAAACACGUCCUAUCCUUGGAUGUAAUCUCGGUAAUGUCUGGGCAUGAGAGACUUGAACAAGAUCCGGAAGGUGAAGGUGAAGCAGCAGCCAUAUUUUUCCCUCUAAAGCUCCUGCUUGGAAUGUUGAGUUCUGAGAGGCACCUGAGCUGUUUUGGGAACGGGUGUGACAAAUGAUAUCUCUGGGAGAGUGUAACCAAGGUGAGUCGUCAGAAAUGAGCACUGUUGCCAAGGGAACUGCUGGACAAACAUUUAGGGUAUAAACUUUGCUAUUGCAUUUAAAGAUCUUGCCACACUUGUUGCCGACUGGACUUGAAAUCUGAACAGCUCCAGUGAAGACAGAAAUGUCCUAAAGGUGACAGACAUGGUCUGGCAGAGGGCAUUGUCAGGGACAACAGCACAGCUUCCAGAUGCCAGAGGGAAGAGAAGGAAGCUAUUCACACCCAAUGACCAAGAAGAGCAUGGAAUUCUGGGGUCUGUGACUUUGAAUGAGAAUUAACUUACCACUAGGAAAGAGCAUUCCUGUGGCGAUGCCAAGCUGUCUCUCUACCUGGUACAAGUGUUUUGUAAAGGCUGGUUGGGUCCAGCUUACUACAUACAUGUUUUAAGCACAAGAACACAAUUAAAAUGAAAUAUUACAUCAAAUUCCAGGGCUCUCUGUUGAUAAAAAUGGAGCUGGUUUGGUUGGUUCUGGAUGAGGUGACAGAAUUUUAUGUGGUUGGCCUUCACCUCACUCAUACCCUCAUUUCUACUUUACUUGUACCGCAGUCUCUGAGGCUCAUGCAGUUAUCAGAAAAAUAGCUUGAAAAAUGUUAGUUUAGAACCACUUGAGUUUACACAUAGGUCU